rnacentral:lncRNA from 1 species
AACCAGGUACACCAAAACGACAGCGUUUUGCAAGGCGAAACUAAAAGGAAAUUAAAACGCGCUCGCUGGGAAUCGAAGCGAGGUUGGAGGCGCGUAUCAAAACGACGCCGUUUUGGGACUUAAAACCCUAGGCGCACCAGACGGUGGCCAGCACUGUUCACGGCGGCGGUUUCCACCGUCUUCUUCAUGAAGACGGUGGUUCUACUGUUCACGCAUAUUUUUU